UCGAGAAUCUUCGGCAAUGGGCGCAAGCCUGACCGAGCGACGCCGCGUGGAGGACGAAGGCCCUCGGGUUGUAAACUCCUGUCGAGGGGGAGGAAGGCGGGCGACCGCUUGACCGAUCCCUGGAGGAAGCACGGGCUAAGUUCGUGCCAGCAGCCGCGGUAAGACGAACCGUGCGAACGUUAUUCGGAAUCACUGGGCUUAAAGCGCGUGUAGGCGGGCCGGCCCGUCGGUCGCUGAAAUCCCCCGGCUCAACCGGGGAACCGGCGCCGAGACGACCGGCCUGGAGGGACGUAGGGGGGCCUGGAACUUCCGGUGGAGCGGUGAAAUGCGUUGAGAUCGGAAGGAACGCCCGUGGCGAAAGCGAGGCCCUGGACGUCUGCUGACGCUGAGACGCGAAAGCCAGGGGAGCGAACGGGAUUAGAUACCCCUGUAGUCC
rnacentral:rRNA from 1 species